AGGCUAGAGAUCAUCAGGGACUCAGGUCAAGCGCCACAGGUGGAGGGGGGCUACAAGAAAAACUACACACAGGAUCCUCCCAGGGGCCCAAAUGAUGUAUAGUAUACUCUUUGUAGGCAUGGACUGAUGCCCUGAGAAGAGAGAAUUCAGUUUACUUGAGAUUGAGAAUUAGUAUGAGUAAAAAUGUUUAUCUUCUCUUGUUGGUGUUGUUGUCCCAGUUUAGUUGAGAACUAGAGAAUUCAGAGAAAGCAUUUUAUUUAGGGAGUGUACUUCUGAGUCUACAGACUGUUGCAUAUGCGUAAACAUAUGUAAUCUGAAUGCAAUAUUUUCUUGUGACAUGAAUGAAAGCUUUUGUGAACUGAAUGUA